rnacentral:rRNA from 1 species
GACGAACGCUGGCGGCGUGCCUAAUACAUGCAAGUCGAGCGGAACUGGGGGAGCUUGCUCCUUCCAGUUUACGGGCGGACGGGUGAGUAACACGUGGGAAACCUGCCCUGCAGAUCGGGAUAACUCCGGGAAACCGGGGCUAAUACGGAAUAGUUUGCCGCCUCUCCUGAGGCGCUACGGAAAGCCGGUUUCGGCUGUCACUGCAGGAUGGGCCCGCGGCGCAUUAGCUAGUUGGUGGGGGAACGGCCCACCAAGGCGACGAUGCGUAGCCGACCUGAGAGGGUGACCGGCCACACUGGGACUGAGACACGGCCCAGACUCCUACGGGAGGCAGCAGUAGGGAAUCUUCCGCAAUGGACGCAAGUCUGACGGAGCAACGCCGCGUGAGUGACGAAGGUUUUCGGAUCGUAAAACUCUGUUGUGAGGGAAGAACACGUACCAACUAACUAUUGGUACCUUGACGGUACCUCACCAGAAAGCCACGGCUAACUACGUGCCAGCCGCCGCAGUAA